AGUGAACGCUGGCGGUAGGCCUAACACAUGCAAGUCGAACGGCAGCACAGUAAGAGCUUGCUCUUACGGGUGGCGAGUGGCGUACGGGUGAGGAAUACAUCGGACUCUACUUUUUCGUGGGGGAUAACGUAGGGAAACUUACGCUAAUACCGCAUACGACCUACGGGUGAAAGCAGGGGAUCUUCGGACCUUGCGCGAAUGAAUGAGCCGAUGUCGGGUUAGCUAGUUGGGGGGGUAAAGGCCCACCAAGUCGACGAUCCGUAGCUGGUGUGAGAGGAUGGUCAGCGACACUGGAGCUGAGACACGGUCCAGACUCCUACGGGAGGCAGCAGUGGGGAAUAGUGGACAAAAGGCGCAAGCCUGAUCCAACCAUACCGCGUCGGUGACGGAGGCCUUCGGGUUGUAAAGCCCUUUUGUGGGUAAAGAAAAGCAGCAGGUUAAUACCCCGCUGUUCUGACGGUACCCAAUGAAGAAGCACCGGCUAACUUCGUG
rnacentral:rRNA from 1 species